rnacentral:rRNA from 1 species
UACGAGGGGGGCGAGCGUUGUUCGGAAUUAUUGGGCGUAAAGGGUGCGUAGGCGGUUUGGUAAGUCUGAUGUGAAAUCUAUGGGCUCAACUCAUAGUCUGCAUCGGAAACUGCCGGGCUUGAGUGUGGGAGAGGUGAGUGGAAUUCCUGGUGUAGCGGUGAAAUGCGUAGAUAUCAGGAGGAACACCUGUGGCGAAAGCGGCUCACUGGACCAUAACUGACGCUGAGACACGAAAGCGUGGGUAGCAAACAGG